rnacentral:rRNA from 1 species
AAUGUGGAGCCGUAGCGAAAGCGAGUCUGAAUAGGGCGUUGAGUAUUUGGUCGUAGACCCGAAACCAGGUGAUCUACCCUUGGUCAGGUUGAAGUUCAGGUAACACUGAAUGGAGGACCGAACCGACUUACGUUGAAAAGUGAGCGGAUGAACUGAGGGUAGCGGAGAAAUUCCAAUCGAACUUGGAGAUAGCUGGUUCUCUCCGAAAUAGCUUUAGGGCUAGCCUCAAGUGAUGAUUAUUGGAGGUAGAGCACUGUUUGGACGAGGGGCCCCUCUCGGGUUACCGAAUUCAGACAAACUCCGAAUGCCAAUCAAUUUAACUUGGGAGUCAGAACAUGGGUGAUAAGGUCCGUGUUCGAAAGGGAAACAGCCCAGACCACCAGCUAAGGUCCCAAAAUAUAUGUUAAGUGGAAAAGGAUGUGGCGUUGCCCAGACAACUAGGAUGUUGGCUUAGAAGCAGCCAUCAUUUAAAGAGUGCGUAAUAGCUCACUAGUCGAGUGACACUGCGCCGAAAAUGUACCGGGGCUAAACAUAUUACCGAAGCUGUGGAUUGUCCGUAGGACAAUGGUAGGAGAGCGUUCUAAGGGCGUUGAAGCAUGAUCGCAAGGACAUGUGGAGCGCUUAGAAGUGAGAAUGCCGGUGUGAGUAGCGAAAGACGGGUGAGAAUCCCGUCCACCGAUUGACUAAGGUUUCCAGAGGAAGGCUCGUCCGCUCUGGGUUAGUCGGGUCCUAAGCUGAGGCCGACAGGCGUAGGCGAUGGAUAACAGGUUGAUAUUCCUGUACCACCUAGUAUCGUUUUAAUCGAUGGGGGGACGCAGUAGGAUAGGCGAAGCGUGCUGUUGGAGUGCACGUCCAAGCAGUAAGGCUGAGUGUUAGGCAAAUCCGGCACUCGUAAGGCUGAGCUGUGAUGGGGAGAGGAAAUUGUUUCCUCGAGUCGUUGAUUUCACACUGCCGAGAAAAGCCUCUAGAUAGAUAACAGGUGCCCGUACCGCAAACCGACACAGGUAGUCAAGAUGAGAAUUCUAAGGUGAGCGAGCGAACUCUCGUUAAGGAACUCGGCAAAAUGACCCCGUAACUUCGGGAGAAGGGGUGCUCUUUAGGGUUCACGCCCAGAAGAGCCGCAGUGAAUAGGCCCAAGCGACUGUUUAUCAAAAACACAGGUCUCUGCUAAACCGUAAGGUGAUGUAUAGGGGCUGACGCCUGCCCGGUGCUGGAAGGUUAAGAGGAGUGGUUAGCUUCUGCGAAGCUACGAAUCGAAGCCCCAGUAAACGGCGGCCGUAACUAUAACGGUCCUAAGGUAGCGAAAUUCCUUGUCGGGUAAGUUCCGACCCGCACGAAAGGCGUAACGAUUUGGGCACUGUCUCAACGAGAGACUCGGUGAAAUCAUAGUACCUGUGAAGAUGCAGGUUACCCGCGACAGGACGGAAAGACCCCGUGGAGCUUUACUGUAGCCUGAUAUUGAAAUUCGGCACAGCUUGUACAGGAUAGGUAGGAGCCAUUGAAACGUGAGCGCUAGCUUACGUGGAGGCGUUGGUGGGAUACUACCCUAGCUGUGUUGGCUUUCUAACCCGCACCACUUAUCGUGGUGGGAGACAGUGUCAGGCGGGCAGUUUGACUGGGGCGGUCGCCUCCUAAAAGGUAACGGAGGCGCUCAAAGGUUCCCUCAGAAUGGUUGGAAAUCAUUCACAGAGUGUAAAGGCAUAAGGGAGCUUGACUGCGAGACCUACAAGUCGAGCAGGGUCGAAAGACGGACUUAGUGAUCCGGUGGUUCCGCAUGGAAGGGCCAUCGCUCAACGGAUAAAAGCUACCCCGGGGAUAACAGGCUUAUCUCCCCCAAGAGUUCACAUCGACGGGGAGGUUUGGCACCUCGAUGUCGGCUCAUCGCAUCCUGGGGCUGUAGUCGGUCCCAAGGGUUGGGCUGUUCGCCCAUUAAAGCGGUACGCGAGCUGGGUUCAGAACGUCGUGAGACAGUUCGGUCCCUAUCCGUCGUGGGCGUAGGAAAUUUGAGAGGAGCUGUCCUUAGUACGAGAGGACCGGGAUGGACAUACCUCUGGUGUACCAGUUGUCGUGCCAACGGCAUAGCUGGGUAGCUAUGUAUGGACGGGAUAAGUGCUGAAAGCAUCUAAGCAUGAAGCCCCCCUCAAGAUGAGAUUUCCCAACUUCGGUUAUAAGAU